UGGAGAGUUUGAUCCUGGCUCAGGAUGAACGCUGGCGGCGUGCUUAACACAUGCAAGUCGAACGAUGAAGCCCAGCUUGCUGGGUGGAUUAGUGGCGAACGGGUGAGUAACACGUGAGUAACCUGCCCUUAACUCUGGGAUAAGCCUGGGAAACURGGUCUAAUACCGGAUAGGAGCGYCYACCGCAUGGUGGGUGUUGGAAAGAUUUAUCGGUUUUGGAUGGACUCGCGGCCUAUCAGCUUGUUGGUGAGGUAAUGGCUCACCAAGGCGACGACGGGUAGCCGGCCUGAGAGGGUGACCGGCCACACUGGGACUGAGACACGGCCCAGACUCCUACGGGAGGCAGCAGUGGGGAAUAUUGCACAAUGGGCGMAAGCCUGAUGCAGCGACGCCGCGUGAGGGAUGACGGCCUUCGGGUUGUAAACCUCUUUCAGUAGGGAAGAAGCGAAAGUGACGGUACCUGCAGAAGAAGCACCGGCUAACUACGUGCCAGCAGCCGCGGUA
rnacentral:rRNA from 1 species